GUGCCAGCCGCCGCGGUAAGACGGAGGGUGCGAGCGUUAUUCGGAAUUAUUGGGCGUAAAGGGUGUGCAGGCGGUAGGUCAAGUCAGAUGUGAAAGCCCAGGGCUUAACCCUGGAAGUGCAUUUGAAACUGGCCCACUUGAGUUCGGGAGAGGAAAGCGGAAUUCCGGGUGUAGAGGUGAAAUUCGUAGAUAUCCGGAGGAACACCGGUGGCGAAGGCGGCUUUCUGGACCGAAACUGACGCUGAGACACGAAAGCGUGGGGAGCAAACAGGAUUAGAUACCCUGGUAGUCCACGCUGUAAACGAUGGGCGCUAGGUGUGGGGGGUUUUUAAUCUCUCCGUGCCGCAGCUAACGCAUUAAGCGCCCCGCCUGGGGAGUACGGCCGCAAGGUUAAA
rnacentral:rRNA from 1 species